rnacentral:rRNA from 1 species
UACAGAGGUCUCAAGCGUUGUUCGGAUUCAUUGGGCGUAAAGGGUGUGUAGGUGGCGCGCUAAGUCGGGUGUGAAAUUUCGGAGCUUAACUCCGAAACUGCAUUCGAUACUGGCGUGCUUGAGGACUGGAGAGGAGACUGGAAUUCAUGGUGUAGCAGUGAAAUGCGUAGAGAUCAUGAGGAAGACCAGUGGCGAAGGCGGGUCUCUGGGCCGGAACUGACGCUAAGGAGCGAAAGCGUGGGGAGCGAACAGG